GAUGAACGCUAGCGGGAGGCCUAACACAUGCAAGCCGAGCGGUAGAGUUUCUUCGGAAACUUGAGAGCGGCGCACGGGUGCGUAACACGUGUGCAACCUACCUUUAUCUGGGGGAUAGCCUUUCGAAAGGAAGAUUAAUACCCCAUAAUAUAAUGAUUGGCAUCAAUUAUUAUUGAAAACUCCGGUGGAUAGAGAUGGGCACGCGCAAGAUUAGAUAGUUGGUGAGGUAACGGCUCACCAAGUCAAUGAUCUUUAGGGGUCCUGAGAGGGAGAUCCCCCACACUGGUACUGAGACACGGACCAGACUCCUACGGGAGGCAGCAGUGAGGAAUAUUGGACAAUGGGUGAGAGCCUGAUCCAGCCAUCCCGCGUGAAGGAUGACGGUCCUAUGGAUUGUAAACUUCUUUUGUCCAGGGAUAAACCUACCCUCGUGAGGGUAGCUGAAGGUACUGUACGAAUAAGCACCGGCUAACUCCGUG
rnacentral:rRNA from 1 species